rnacentral:snRNA from 1 species
AUCCCUUCUCGGCCUUUUGGCUAAGAUCAAGUGUAGGAUCUGUUCUUAUCAGUUUAACUAAAGUACUUCUUACCUGUUAUGACCACUGAAAUUUUAAAAAAUGACUUGAAUUUUUUAGAAAAGUUUUAGAUUUAUCGAAAACCUGCAAAGAUAGCACAGAGA